AUCCUUUGGUUCAUAAGCAUGGUGAUUGGGUGUUCACGCUCUUGUGUGAGAUGUGCCUCCCUCUAAACCUUGUUAUGACAUCGGCACAUUACCCGUCUGACA
rnacentral:snoRNA from 1 species